UACGUAGGCAGCAAGCGUUGUUCGGAUUUACUGGGUGGAAAGGGUGCGCAGGCGGAACUGUGCGUCGAGGGUUAAAGACUUAGGCUCAACCUAAGGAAUGCCCUCGAUACGGCAGAUCUUGAGUGCGAGAGAGGAUAGUGGAAUUCCUGGUGUAGCGGUGAAAUGCGUAGAGAUCAGGAGGAACACCAGUGGCGAAGGCGGCUAUCUGGCUCGCAACUGACGCUCAGGCACGAAAGCGUGGGGAGCAAACAGG
rnacentral:rRNA from 1 species